rnacentral:rRNA from 1 species
GACGAACGCUGGCGGCGUGCCUAAUACAUGCAAGUAGAACGCUGAAGAGAGGAGCUUGCUCUUCUUGGAUGAGUUGCGAACGGGUGAGUAACGCGUAGGUAACCUGCCUUGUAGCGGGGGAUAACUAUUGGAAACGAUAGCUAAUACCGCAUAACAAUGGAUGACACAUGUCAUUUAUUUGAAAGGGGCAAUUGCUCCACUACAAGAUGGACCUGCGUUGUAUUAGCUAGUAGGUGAGGUAAUGGCUCACCUAGGCGACGAUACAUAGCCGACCUGAGAGGGUGAGCAGCCACACUGAGAGUGAGACACGGCCCAGACUCCUACGGGAGGCAGCAGUAGGGAAUCUGCGGCAAUGAGGGCAACCCUGACCGAGCAACGCCGCGUGAGUGAAGAAGGUUUUCGGAUCGUAAAGCUCUGUUGUAAGUCAAGAACGGGUGUGAGAGUGGAAAGUUCACACUGUGACGGUAGCGUACCAGAAAGGGACGGCUAACUACGUG